GACGAACGCUGGCGGCGUGCCUAAUACAUGCAAGUCGAGCGAAUCAAUAGGAGCUUGCUCCUGUUGAUUAGCGGCGGACGGGUGAGUAACACGUGGGCAACCUGCCUGUAAGACUGGGAUAACUUCGGGAAACCGGAGCUAAUACCGGAUAAUCCUUUUCCUCUCAUGAGGAAAAGCUGAAAGUCGGUUUCGGCUGACACUUACAGAUGGGCCCGCGGCGCAUUAGCUAGUUGGUGAGGUAACGGCUCACCAAGGCGACGAUGCGUAGCCGACCUGGGAGGGUGAUCGGCCACACUGGGACUGAGACACGGCCCAGACUCCUACGGGAGGCAGCAGUAGGGAAUCUUCCGCAAUGGCCGAAGGUCUGACGGAGCAACGCCGCGUGAGCGAUGAAGGCCUUCGGGUCGUAAAGCUCUGUUGUUAGGGAAGAACAAGUAUCGGAGUAACUGCCGGUACCUUGACGGUACCUAACCAGAAAGCCACGGCUAACUACGUGCCAGCAGCCGCCGUAA
rnacentral:rRNA from 1 species